rnacentral:rRNA from 1 species
GCAGAACGCGAAGAACCUUACCAGCCCUUGACAUCCCGGUCGCGGUUACCAGAGAUGGUUUCCUUCAGUUCGGCUGGACCGGUGACAGGUGCUGCAUGGCUGUCGUCAGCUCGUGUCGUGAGAUGUUGGGUUAAGUCCCGCAACGAGCGCAACCCUCGCCUUUAGUUGCCAUCAUUGAGUUGGGCACUCUAGAGGGACUGCCGGUGAUAAGCCGGAGGAAGGUGGGGAUGACGUCAAGUCCUCAUGGCCCUUACGGGCUGGGCUACACACGUGCUACAAUGGUGGUGACAGUGGGCAGCAAGCACGCGAGUGUGAGCUAAUCUCCAAAAGCCAUCUCAGUUCGGAUUGCACUCUGCAACUCGAGUGCAUGAAGUUGGAAUCGCUAGUAAUCGCGGAUCAGCAUGCCGCGGUGAAUA